GAUGAAGAACGUAGCGAAAUGCGAUACGUAAUGUGAAUUGCAGAAUUCAGUGAAUCAUCGAGUCUUUGAACGCACAUUGCGCCCCGUGGUAUUCCGGGGGGCAUGCCUGUCCGAGCGUCAUUGCUGCCCUCAAGCACGGCUUGUGUGUUGGGCCUCCGUCCUCCUCCCGGGGGACGGGCCCGAAAGGCAGCGGCGGCACCGCGUCCGGUCCUCGAGCGUAUGGGGCUUCGUCACCCGCUCUUGUAGGCCCGGCCGGCGCUUGCCGACACAUCAAUCUUUUUUCCAGGUUGACCUCGGAUCAGGUAGGGAUACCCGCUGAACUUAAGCAUAUCAAUAAGCGGAGGA
rnacentral:misc_RNA from 1 species